rnacentral:rRNA from 1 species
CUGCUGCCUCCCGUAGGAGUCUGGUCCGUGUCUCAGUACCAGUGUGGGGGACCUUCCUCUCAGAACCCCUACGCAUCGUCGGUUAGGUGGGCCGUUACCCCGCCUACUGCCUAAUGCGCCGCAUGCCCAUCCCUGUCCGGCCGAAGCCUUUCCUGCCUCCGGGAUGCCCCGGUGGCAUGUACGCGGGUUUAGCCCGCCUUUCGGCGGGUUGUCCCCCUGACAGGGGCAGGUUGCAUACGUGUUACUCACCCGUGCGCCGGUCGCCGGCGGAAAAAGCAA